rnacentral:rRNA from 1 species
UCUACUGUAUAGUAUUUUAGUAAUACCAGUUCCCGUUCGAUCACCGAAGUCAAGAUGCACUGGGCGGCGUUCCGUAAGAAGAUGGGUGACCGCUCCCUCACACCCGUCUCUGGAAGCC